UACGUACGAGGCAAGCGUUAUCCGGAAUUAUUGGGCGUAAAGAGCUCGUAGGCGGCCUGUUACGUCUGCUGUGAAAUCCCGGGGCUUAACCCCGGGCGUGCAGUGGAUACGGGCAGGCUGGAGGCAGGCAGGGGAGAACGGAAUUCCCGGUGUAGCGGUGAAAUGCGCAGAUAUCGGGAGGAACACCGGUGGCGAAGGCGGUUCUCUGGGCCUGUACUGACGCUGAGGAGCGAAAGCGUGGGGAGCGAACAGG
rnacentral:rRNA from 1 species